AGCAGCCGCGGUAAUUCCAGCUCCAAUAGCGUAUAUUAAAGUUGUUGCAGUUAAAAAGCUCGUAGUUGAAUUUCGGGGUCAGUAGGUUGGUCGUGCCACCGGUACGUACUGGUCUCACCGAUUCCUCCUUCCUGAAGAACCGUAAUGCCAUUAAUUUGGUGUUGCGGGGAAACAGGACUGUUACUUUGAAAAAAUUAGAGUGUUUAAAGCAGGCUAACGCUUGAAUACAUUAGCAUGGAAUAAUGAAAUAGGACGAUCGAUCCUAUUUUGUUGGUUUCUAGGAUUGACGUAAUGAUUAAUAGGGAUAGUUGGGGGCAUUAGUAUUCAAUUGUCAGAGGUGAAAUUCUUGGAUUUAUUGAAGACUAACUACUGCGAAAGCAUUUGCCAAGGAUGUUUUCAUUAAUCAAGAACGAAAGUUAGGGGAUCGAAGACGAUCAGAUACCGUCGUAGUCUUAACCAUAAACUAUGCCGACUAGGGAUCGGAUGAUGUUAAUUUUAUAAUGACUCAUUCGGCGCCUUA
rnacentral:rRNA from 1 species